GGGCGGGCAGGCUAACACAUGCAAGUCGUACCAAUAGUCACAGGAUGAGCUUGCUCCUUGGGUGACGAGUGGCGGACGGGUGAGUAAUGUCUGGGAAACUGCCCGAUGGAGGGGGAUAACUACUGGAAACGGUAGCUAAUACCGCAUAACGUCGCAAGACCAAAGAGGGGGACCUUCGGGCCUCUUGCCAUCGGAUGUGCCCAGAUGGGAUUAGCUAGUAGGUGGGGUAACGGCUCACCUAGGCGACGAUCCCUAGCUGGUCUGAGAGGAUGACCAGCCACACUGGAACUGAGACACGGUCCAGACUCCUACGGGAGGCAGCAGUGGGGAAUAUUGCACAAUGGGCGCAAGCCUGAUGCAGCCAUGCCGCGUGUAUGAAGAAGGCCUUCGGGUUGUAAAGUACUUUCAGCGAGGAGGAAGGUGUUGUGGUUAAUAACCGCAGCAAUUGACGUUACUCGCAGAAGAAGCACCGGCUAACUCCGUGCCAGCAGCCGCGGUAAUACGGAGGGUGCAAGCGUUAAUCGGAAUUACUGGGCGUAAAGCGCACGCAGGCGGUCUGUCAAGUCGGAUGUGAAAUCCCCGGGCUCAACCUGGGAACUGCAUCCGAAACUGGCAGGCUAGAGUCUUGUAGAGGGGGGUAGAAUUCCAGGUGGAGCGGCGAAAUGCGUAGAGAUCCUGG
rnacentral:rRNA from 1 species